GACGAACGCUGGCGGCGUGCCUAAUACAUGCAAGUCGAGCGAAGUUUUUCUGGUGCUUGCACCGGAAAAACUUAGCGGCGAACGGGUGAGUAUCACGUAAAGAACCUGCCUCAUAGACUGGGACAACUAUUGGAAACGCUAGCUAAUACCGGAUAUUAGCAUUAACUGCAUGGUUGAUGUUUAAAAGUUGGGUUUGCUAACAAUAUGAGAUGGCUUUGCGUUGCAUUAGGUAGUUGGUAGGGGAAAGGCCUACCAAGGCGGCGAGGGAUAGCCGACCCGAGAGGGUGAUCGACCACACUGGCACUGAGACAGGGCCCAGACUCCUGCGGGAGGCCGCAGUAGGGAAUCUUCCGCGAGGGGCGAAAGCCUGACGUAGCAACGCCGCGUGAGUGAUGAAGGAUUUCGGUUCGUAAAGCGCUGUUGUUAGGGAAGAAUGAUUGUGUAGUAACUAUACACAGUAGAGACGGUACCGAACCAGAAAGCCACGGCUAACUACGUG
rnacentral:rRNA from 1 species